rnacentral:lncRNA from 1 species
CAGAAGGACUUGUGGAGUCCAGUUAUGAAAUCCAUAACGUGUUAGCAGGACUGAUGUAGCUGCCUCCACAGAAGAGCAGGGAACUCAGCACCACCCUUAAAGGCAAGGUGGUCACACAACAAUCGGUUUGCAGUUUUGGAAAAUGAAGACCUCCCUGUGGUUUGAGAUUCUACCCUUUUUUGGAAUUGUUACAAUCUGUUUCUUAUGGCCCUUGAGAUCUAGCUUAGGUUUGGGGGGUACUUUUUGCACCCUAUAGAGACUAAUUAUUAGCUUUGGUUUAAUAUCGUUCACUUUGGUCUCGAGGGAAAACUGCCUGAAGUAUGCACAGGCCAUGCCCAAUUCAGACUUCGCUGGCAAACUCCAUCAUGGGUUCACACUAUCAAAGAAACAGACCAGAGGCAACGAAUUCUGUCCCUAAAAUGUGCUCUCACUUACUCUCCCCCUCCAAAGAAUCUCCUGCUUCGUGGAUGAGCAGACUCAUGAGGCAGACAUCUUGGUUACAUUAUCCAUCUCUGAAUCCCCACAUGGUGAGUACCUGAUCAAGUCCUCAAUCUGGUUAUUGAAUUAAAUGAAUGAAUGAAUGCAGCUGAAUGCUAAUUGUUGUACAUCAUUUGAGUGAGGUGUAACAAAAUUAUGGGUUUUAUAAUAUUAAGUGAUUUUGAUUACAGUAGAGAUUGUGUUAUGGAUUCCUACUCCUAAAACCUCAAAAUGUUUCUUUUGAUUUAUUCGGUUCAGAAAAUUAUGAUUCUAUUGUGCUUGUAAAACCAAAUUUGAAGAGCUUGGUUCAUCCACUUUUUCCCAUUGUCUCGGCUGAUUGCGAAAAUGCACAUGAGAUCUAAGACUGGGUACAACGUUCGAUGGGUAUUUUACCCAACUGCCAAGGGAAGUUGUAUUAUUUGGUGCAGAGUAUGUGUUUCAUUCUUGAUAGAAUGAGAGCACAGCUUAUUAAAAAUUCUGAAUGCCUUGAAUUUUAAUGAUUCUUCGCAGACUAAACUUUGGGCUUUCUACCUUGUUCUCCUAAAUAAAGUACAUUUAUAUAAUGCA